GACGAACGCUGGCGGCGUGCCUAAUACAUGCAAGUCGAACGGUUUAGUUCCAAGAGGCUUGCCUUUUGGAACUAGACAGUGGCGGACGGGUGAGUAACACGUAGGCAACCUACCUGUCAAACCGGGAUAACCUCGGGAAACCGAAGCUAAACCCGGAUAAGCUCCUUUUUCGCAUGAAGGGGGAGUGAAAAGGUGCGACCUGAUGACAGAUGGGCCUGCGGCGCAUUAGCUAGUAGGUAGGGUAACGGCCUACCUAGGCGAUGAUGCGUAGCCGACCUGAGAGGGCGUACGGCCACACUGGGACUGAGAUCCGGCCCAGACUCCUACGGGAGGCAGCAGUAGGGAAUCUUCGGCAAUGGGCGAAAGCCUGACCGAGCAACGCCGCGUGAGUGAGGAAGGCCUUCGGGUUGUAAAACUCUGUUGUUUGGGAAGAAGGGAAAGGGUAGGACCCUUUGGUGACGGUACCAAACGAGAAAGCCCCGGCUAACUACGUG
rnacentral:rRNA from 1 species